rnacentral:rRNA from 1 species
CAGUCGCCACGGUAAUUCGUAGGGUGCGAGCGUUAAUCGGAAUUACUGGGCGUAAAGCGUGCGCAGGCGGUUAUAUAAGACAGAUGUGAAAUCCCCGGGCUCAACCUGGGACCUGCAUUUGUGACUGUAUAGCUAGAGUACGGUAGAGGGGGAUGGAAUUCCGCGUGUAGCAGUGAAAUGCGUAGAUAUGCGGAGGAACACCGAUGGCGAAGGCAAUCCCCUGGACCUGUACUGACGCUCAUGCACGAAAGCGUGGGGAGCAAACAGGAUUAGAUACCCGCGUAGUCCCUGUCUCUUAUAA